UGGGGAAUAUUGCACAAUGGGCGCAAGCCUGAUGCAGCCAUGCCGCGUGUAUGAAGAAGGCCUUCGGGUUGUAAAGUACUUUCAGCGGGGAGGAAGGGAGUAAAGUUAAUACCUUUGCUCAUUGACGUUACCCGCAGAAGAAGCACCGCUUAACUCCGUGCCAGCAGCCGCGGUAAUACGGAGGGUGCAAGCGUUAAUCGGAAUUACUGGGCGUAAAGCGCACGCAGGCGGUUUGUUAAGUCAGAUGUGAAAUCCCCGGGCUCAACCUGGGAACUGCAUCUGAUACUGGCAAGCUUGAGUCUCGUAGAGGGGGGUAGAAUUCCAGGUGUAGCGGUGAAAUGCGUAGAGAUCUGGAGGAAUACCGGUGGCGAAGGCGGCCCCCUGGACGAAGACUGACGCUCAGGUGCGAAAGCGUGGGGAGCAAACAGG
rnacentral:rRNA from 1 species